AGUACUGAGAGCAAGACAGAGACAGACAAUCAGAGAACCAGGUGGACUGACACACAGACAUCAGCUUAUUAGGUAAAGGACACCUUGAAGUCAAAUCGUGAAAGAAGCUUUAAUUUCUCUUCUGCAAACAGGUGACUGUUACAGGUCAGCUAACAGGUGAGUGUAACAGGUCAGCUAACAAGUGGGUGUUACAGGUCAGCUAACAGGUGAGUGUAACAGGUCAGCUAACAAGUGGGUGUUACAGGUCAGCUAACAGGUGGGUGUUACAGGUCAGCUAACAAGUGAGUGUAACAGGUCAGCUAACAGCUAACAGGUGAGUGUAACAGGUCAGCUAACAGCUAACAGGUGAGUGUAACAGGUCAGCUAACAAGUGGGUGUUACAGGUCAGCUAACAAGUGGGUGUAACAGGUCAGCUAACAGGUGAGUGUUUCAGGUCAGCUUAUGGGUGAGUAUAACAGGUCAACUAACAGGUGGGUGUAACAGGUCAGCUAACAGCUAACAGGUGAGUGUAACAGGUCAGCUAACAGGUGAGUGUAACAGGUCAGCUAACAAGUGGGUGUUACAGGUCAGCUAACAGCUAACAGGUGAGUGUAACAGGUCAGCUAACAGGUGAGUGUUUCAGGUCAGCUUAUGGGUGAGUAUAACAGGUCAACUAACAGGUGGGUGUAACAGGUCAGCUAACAGGUGAGUGUAACAGGUCAGCUAACAGGUGAGUGUUUCAGGUCAGCUUAUGGGUGAGUAUAACAGGUCAACUAACAGGUGGGUGUAACAGGUCAGCUAACAGCUAACAGGUGAGUGUAACAGGUCAGCUAACAGGUGAGUGUUUCAGGUCAGCUUAUGGGUGAGUAUAACAGGUCAACUAACAGGUGGGUGUAACAGGUCAGCUAACAGCUAACAGGUGAGUGUAACAGGUCAGCUAAUGGGUAAGUGUAACAGGUCAUUUAAAAGGUGAGUGUAACAGGUCAGCUAACCGGUCAGUGUAACAGGUGAGUGUAACAUGUCAUUUAACAGGUGAUUGUUACAGGUCAGCUAAAAACUAACAGGUCAGCUAACAACUAACAGGUGAGUGUAGCAGGUCAGUUUAUUAGGAACAGGCUGGCUGUUCUUAAUACAGGUAAACUCACUUUUUAAAUGUGAUGACAAUGACAGCAUCGGCUGACCUCUAACCUUACUGCAGUGAUGUAUAAAUCGUAGAGCUGAGUGUGUUGGUACACUGU